GCUCCAGCCUCAUGAUGAACCCACUGCCCUGAGCUGUUGUGAUGCUGGCUUCAAAGUAAACGCUCUGAAGCAAUGGAGCAGGUU
ensembl:snoRNA Gm24067 small nucleolar RNA SNORD105